ACCUCGCCGUCUAAAAUUGGAGCACAUUUGCUACUCCUGACUAAUAGAACUCCAACUCAGAUUUGACCAAGUUAUUUUUUUAUUGACAUGGAGCUCCACUCGGACAACCCUCUACCUCUCCCUCUCAAACAUUUGCAACCAAGCAGGAGGGAUAGGGUUAAGAGGGGAUUGUUUGAGUUUUUUUUUUUUUUUUAAAUAAGCCACUAGGGUAAUUUUAUAAAUUAGGAAAACCAAAAGGGUCCAAAAAUAAAGCAAAAAGCGGAAAAAGGAAAGUGAAAAUCUUGCAACAAAUUAGAUUUGCAAACUCUAUGUUAUUUGGCCGUUUAUUCGCUCUCCUGUCGGCACUCUAGAACCUUGAUUUCUCUGUGCAAAUCUGCGUCCAAUUCAUCUUCUCAAUGCAAAAUGAAGGUGAAAUCUUUGUUGUUGCUAUGCAUCCUCGUCUAUUCCAGGUGUGAAUCUGAAGAAAUGCUCUUAGCGGCCCUAAAUGAUAUCUGCUCCACCACUUCAGGCGACAAUCAUCACUGGAGCUUCUUCCAAUGUUCCUCGUUGUUGUUCUCCGUGUGUUUCUUUUGUGCUUGAAAGCUCAAUCUCUCACUAUACUUGUCAAUUUUCAUCUCCAUGAUGCCAUUGCAUUGUUGCUUUCUCGCAAAUCGGAGCUCCGCUGCAUUGAUUCAUGUCUUGUACUUCUCAAAACCACCUCCGUCCGAAUAUCAAUUUCAAGUCCGAUGUAGUUGCAUUUUCAGCGAGUAGACGAGGAACAUGUUAAAUGUCAACAUUGUGGUCAAAUAUAUCUCCAUAAGUCUGAACCGGUUUUUGGGGGUACCGGUCCGUUAUGUAGGCACUUGGACAAAAGGCACAAAAUUGAACUUUGAAGUUUAUCUCUUCUUUAAAUUUCUCCAUCGAUGCUAGCGUUUUGAACUUUUCAUUCGUAAUAAGUUAACCGUUCAAGUUUAUAUGUUUUGAAUUUGCAAUGUUAUCAAUUUAAGUUUGAAGUUUUAUUUUAAA